CGGGGUUUUCAUCUCGGUGAGAGAGAGCGGUGAUUGACGGAGCGGAAAAAUGCUCCAGCGAUGCCGAGAGAAGGCGAAAUAAUAGUGUGAAAGUUUGUUCUUUCGUUGUUAAGUGUUAAAUGAAGACCCAACAGGAUUGAGGCUCGGUGUGUUGGAUCGGGGCGGGGGUGUGUGGUUGUUGCGAGACGUGCGGGUGAGUGUUGUUGUUAGAUUCGGCGAGGUUCGUAAAUGUGCUAUAUGCUAAAUUGUUAGCUGACUAGCAUCGACUGUGCAGGAGCAGAGGAAGACUGGAGUCAGGAUGCAUGUGCGAGGUCGAGUGUUAAUUUCAAGUUCCUGAGUGAGUAUCAGACUGCUUAUUGUUAUCGCAUACACGUUGUGAGUGAGUACGUGUAUGUGAAGUUUUGUUUUUUGUGCUGUCAGUGUGCUUCGGAUACUGUCCGCUCGUGCUGGAACAGUAGAGGUGCUCCGGACUUGCCGCGCCUGGGACUUCGGCAUGUGGACCGACUUUCUCCUUCUUCCGGCUCUGUGCUUCCGUGAUGGUUAUAACAACACACUAAAUUUGCAAGGGACCGUGAGUACAAACGACUUAGAAAUCACACCCACACAAGAGCUCCAACAGCGCGCCAACGUACGUGGUACCACAGACUGAUUUAUAAAAUCCCGGGUAUUAAGAACUAUUAUUUUUUUUCUUCUCUUUUUAUUUCUUUAUCCUGUGAAUAAAUGUGAACAUUUGUGUAUUUAAACGUGUGUAGUUUCUGUUGAUUGAUGUUGUGCACGUUUGGGGGGGCUAUCUUAAAACGUGCAUGGGAGUUAACACUCACACAGACACAUCACACAAUUCCCUGGUUUAUAUUUCGUAGCAUCACCAAUUCCUCUCCCAUGCAAAAUACUGUGUGUAUGAUCUGGUAGGUAAUAGUCUUUUGAAAAAAAUAGGAAUUGAGUAAGGGGGCUACACAAGAACUGUCUCAUCAGCUGACUCCACUAUGCAGAAGAAGAGGACAAAUUACAUGGAGCCAACUGAUCCAGAUCCAGCUUGCCACAUGUCUAAAGUAAGAAUUAUAUUAGGCCAUAGAUUUAUAUAGCAGUUAACCAGCGAAUGUUCACAAAAUUAGAAAAAAUUACAGUUGAUUUUACGGUCUGCAAAAGUUGGUAGCCGAUGUAGAAGCUUGCGUUAACUUUAUGAGGUUUUUAAAUAAAGCGCCCUGGUGUGUAAUGACCCCAAGAGGUUCAGUAAAGCUCUGUGAGGAACUGUCAGUUUCAUGAUGAAGCAGAUUCCCUCAUCCUCUGAACAACGAAUCACAUCUGCUGACUUUUGACCAUCAAAUAUCAUUAUUCAUCCAGGAUAAGAGGAAACUGUGAAAACAGGUUUGUUUCUUCAGCUAACUGGCUGACACCUACCCCCUCCUACCAGUUUCAGCCAUUAAAAAUAAUGAUACAAAAAUCCUCAGGCUUGUCCCUUAUAGUCUUGUUCGCUUUGGAUGACAUGAUCAGGCAUCAUUUUGAAUUUCAGUCCAUUUCAUUCAUGAUGAAAAACUCCCUACAGGAGCUUUAAAUGUAAAAAAGAAAGAAUUUCAGACUUUUUUUUUGUAUAUAAAUAAUGCAUGUAUAGUAAUACGCUUAAAGCCAAAAUGACUAAAAAAUCUCAGAUAUUUUUCUUCUUACUUAAAUUUUUGGCAUCAGGUGAAACAUCUUUGUACAAAAUCUGCUGUUAAAUUCUCUGAGGAUGUUUUGACUAAAUUCUCUGACUAAAAUAUGACGAGAAUCAACCAUCAUUUCCUGUCUGUAUUAAAUUUUUGCUGAUGGGAAGUGGCUGUUUGCUGCAUUACCUGGUAAAUUUCCUGCUUUUUUUAUGUCUCCUCCCUCCACAUUUACGACAGAAAUAAUUACACAAAUUAAAAUGUGACUGGCACACGUCUCAGGUGGCUAAUUGAUGAAAUUGGUUUUCAGCUGAAAGGAUCUGGGACCUCAGAUUCACCAUAUUAACAAUAACUGACAGUUAGUCCACCUAUAAAGGGUCUGUGGUCUGCAGAGUCUCCCCCCUCCAUGAUACUAACAGCCAUAAGUGUCUAUGUGUAAAAGCCGAGGUCGUGGUUUUUAGUGCCUCUGCGGGACACUUUUGUUGUUUUGCCCUCUGCUAAAUACCAAUGUGUUCUGGUAAUUGGUUGUGCUGUCUGUAAUUGCUGCAAUUUCUCUAAAUGCUGCGCUGGUGUUGUCAAAGUGAGAAAGAUUUUCCUCCUUUUUUUGUUAAUUUGCUUGUUUUUUUUCCUUCAAUUAUGGUCCAUUGAGCUCUCAGGGCCACCAUACUUUGCUCUUACAAAAUGACUAAGCACCAGCAGCCCUCAAUACAUCUUCACAAGGCUUUUAAAGCACAUAUCGACAAAACCACAUCCUAUCCAUGUAAAGUAUCGGCUUCAAUCCAUCACUUUAACCCAGCGGAGUCCGUCCAUACACGAGGCUUCGAUCCAGGCUCGUUUAUUUUGUGUGAACUUGUAAAAAUGAAGAAUACAGUGUCAUAAAAACGGCUUUUUUUUUAAACUCAUCUGUGUGUACUCAGGUGGGCGGGCUCACAGUUUGAGUGACAGGACAGCGGAGUCCGCCGGUGGGAAUAAGCUGUGUGAGAAGAGAUUCAUUAGCGCUCUCAAAGGGACUCAGUCAUUUAUAAUUAAAUGCAGAGGCUCUUCAAUAAUAUAUGACCAGCGAUGAGUGUUUUUCCUGUGACAGAGCGUGUUUGACAAAAUACAGAGGAGGACAGAAGCAGAGAUGUAAGAGGACAAACAUGUAAGCGCGCUAAAACUGAUCAGGCAUGAGAAAAAAAAAAGUCAUGUUUGGUUGAAUGAGCAGCUGUUUGUUUCAGCCUCAAACUUCAUCUCUUUAAACAAGUGGAGGAAGUUUUUCAGUUUCAAUGAUUCAGCCUUUAUAUCCUCUUAAACAAUAAAACUACAUAUCUAAAGGCCGUACUUUAUGAAGGGCUGAAAGGACAUGUUUCACCUUGACAAUAACAAUAAUAAUGUUUUUCCAUCCUGACAGACAGCAAAUCUGAAACGGCCUCUCACUUUUUUAUGUAUAAGUUUAGAUACUGUGGCGUGUGGUGUAUUUUGUGGACCCAGAAGCAGACUCAGAGGCAGAUAGCAAAUUAAAGAUGUAUUUAAUGUCCAGAACACGGGGGCACGAGGAAAGUCCGGUUUGGCCGGCUGACUGAUGUGUGGGCUGGAGACACUGUGGAGAAGCAGAAGAGAAAGAGGUGAGAAGACGUAUGAGGAAUCACAGGGAGCAAAAAUCACGAGCACUUAGCCGAGGAGAAGGCCGGGAGAAGCGUCUGUACCGCUCAGGAGCGAAGACAAUACUCAGGCGCUGAGACUGAGGGCUGCUGGCUUCGUAAAGGGCCUUGAUGCAGCACAGGUGUGGAGUCUCGCUCAGCCUCAGCGCCCGGGGAGAGGGAGAGUGCUCUGAAACACAGUCAAGCCAGACCAGGGAAUCAAGGAAAACAGGAAGUUCAACCAAAAUAAAACAGGAGGUGGAGGCGUCUCACCACAGAUACCAAAUUAAGGAGUAGUGCACUUUCCUGUUUCCUAAAAACUGAUCAGAAAUCGAUCAAAAUAUAACAUACUACUGCGUCAGAGAGUCUGCAUCUCUCCACUUGUCAGGAAGGGGAUGUCUAUGCUCAUCAUAUCACUAGUUUGCGGUCCAGCUAUGAACCCUCCUCGUUUCUUCACAGGAAACCAUGGCGACUGAAUUCAAGCACCGUAUGUUUGAGUCGAAGCUGGUAAAGACUUGGACGAGCUGCUCUUGUGGGUCAUUUCUCUCUCCUCUGAGCCGUGAUGGGACGCCGCUCAGUCUGCUGGGUUUGUAACUAGCUCCAGUUUGCCUUUAAUGGCGACUGCUGCUCUUUGUCUUCCAGUUGUUAAAUCGUGGGAACUUAUUAACUUGUAAUUUAUUCUAGUGGCCUUAAGUAGUAGCAUCAAACAUAAGGUUAUCGGCAAAUCAGUUUGGCUUGCUUGUCCCACCGUCAUCAGAAAAGUAGGAAGCAUCGUAGCGGCCAACAAACUGUAGUCAGAUAAUCAAAUAUAAGCUGCCACCAUCAAUAUCACCGUUUGCCUCUAUCACAAAAGCCUUUGUGGUUUCUGUAGAGGAAACCGUCGUCAAUCUUCGAUCUUUAGAGAAACAAUCAGCAGUAACAGAGAAGCUUUGAGCAGCUUUGGAGGACGGCGAGGUGAAAUCAUUACUUUCUUGUUUGAUUUGACCACAGUGAGACGAAUGGACCUAGCGUUGUCUUUACAGCCACCGGGGGAGGAGUUUUAUGAACAGAUGCAAGGUCAGCGGCUGAACUGGUGAUGCUUCGGUUACGGAGAUGAUAAAAACCACAGGGGAGUGAUCAUGCAAACGAAGUGUUAUCUUCGUCAACAUUUCCACAGACCGAUGAACCCACGGUGUAGAGGAAGGGGAGGGGAUCAUGUAUGUUGUGUUCGUGUGUGGAAGUGUUUUUCCCUCCACAGCCUGAAAUGAAACCCUGACUGGCAGCCAUAACUCUCCAGUGGCAGGACACAUUUCAUUCGUCCCUUCCCCCCGCGUGUCACCUCUCUCCAUCUCCAUCUCUUUUCUCAUUACGAAUUCAUAUCUACUUCUCUGGGAAACACCAGGGGUUUGAUGUGUCGCUGCUCUUAAACGCUGUUGCUCCCUUUACCGUCAUGUCCACAUAAAUGUUGCUAAAUGGGAGGUAAAGAAUCAGGGGUGUAAAUCAAGCUGCUGGGAGCUCUGGACCUGUGGACGUCUCUCUAUGGAUGAGUUUGUGGUCAUUUUAUUCCUUGUUGUUGCAAAGUGCGGACUCAUGGGCCUCUCUGAGUGAUACACACAAUAAAGAGUUGCUCAUUAUCUAACACGCCUUGAAGUCAUUUUAGCUUAAAUCAACCCGCUCCGCUCUGAUCACAAGCUGCUGGUUAACCAUCAUGCACCAAACCAACCUGCUGACCAACCUUCACUUUGACAGUACUCUGCUUUCUGUCUUUUGACACAAUAACACCUGGGUUUAAAAAUAUCUCCAAAAUUGCAUGAGCUGUCUCUCUUUCCAGCGCUGCACGGUGUCAGCAGGUCCUGAUUUCAGGCUGCACACGGGCCAUAAAACCUUCACCUGUGAUCUAAAGCAGCCCGUCGUAGCCUGAGAGGAGAAACAAAGAGAUAAAAAAGAGUCUGCAGAGCCCUGUCCUCAGCGCUCGCUCCUGCUCGAUAAGCUUAUUACUCUCUGAGCACACAGUAAUAACUGAAGGCUGAAUAACUCAGAUGAAAAUAUCAACAUUUUUAUCACCUUAGAUCUGCUGGAUUAUGGUGCCACGACAAAAAUAUGAGGAUGUUCCCAGAGACUUUGGUAAGAAAGUCCAUUCAAAACAAUAAAAGCAUGGAGGGACAUGUCAGAGAUGUACCCAGCGGACAUUACACAAGUUUUUAAUUAUUCUAUCUGCAUCAUGAAUAAUUUAUUUAUUUACAAUUUAACUGCAAAUCUUUCAUUAUUUACAGUAGAAGCAGCUUUUCCCUUGUUAUUUAGCUCUAAUUUUUCAAUAUUUGAUAUUUAAUCAAACUGUAAACACGGGGCCACUGGCCUAGCGGUCUAAGUACACCCCAUUUACGCAAGCAGCCCAAGUUUGAUUCAGACUUGUGACUCUUUUCCACUCUUUCCCUCUAUUUCCUGUCCCAUCCUGUCAGAAUAAAAGCACUCCCAGACUCAGCAUCUUUUGGUGAAUGUAACAUGAUCUGAUAAAAGCCAUCUGAUGGGACCCAAUCUGAAAUUUGGAAUAAGAUAUUUAGUUUAAAUCCUUCAGUACCUUGAAUCCUGGGUUAGCAGCAAAGGGACUGCUCUCAGGUUAUUGCUUCUAUAACUGUCUGUCAGGUUUUUAUCAGUCAGUCCACCUCACCUGUUGCAUACUGUAGCUGUGGUGUUCCUCAAAGGUCUGUUUUAGGUCCUUAGCUGUUCCUCUAAAUCAAACCGUCAGUAACCAUAAUGUAUGGUACCACUGUUAAGCAGAUGAUAUUCAGCUAUAUAAAGGUCUAUUUAUAUUUCACCAACAACAACAACAACAAUAAUAACUAUAAUCAUUUUAAUUAACUCACCACAAACCCCAAAUUGUCCUUUAAUUUUUGCCUCUUAAGGAACAUUAUAUCAAAUGACAGAUUUGGGUCUUCUCUUGAAAUCUUUCUUUAAUAACCAGGUUAUGAGGGUCCAGUUACAUAAGUCCAAUUCCAGGGUUGUACAUCUGACCAAAGAGAGCGAUAGUAUGCUGAAAGAAAACUGAAACUACUGUAACUGAAACACAGAAGCUUUACCUGAUGUUCAGCUCCAUAAAUCUAGAUAAAACCAGCUGAAAGAUAUUCAGGGAAUAGUAUGAGGUAGCUACUGUAGAGCCUUUAAAUCAAUCCCCAAACAUCCGAGCGUAGCACUGAAACAGCCCCCAUCCUAUCAGGGCUUUAUCGGUGCAGCGACAGAGUGUGGACGUGUUUCAGAGAGGGAAUCCCUGCCUGCCUCUCGGUGUGUGUAUGCUGUGUGUGUGUGUGUGUGUGUGCUCCAAAAUGUAUGGUGCAGUAUUUAUUUAUGUUUCCAUUGCGGCAUCUAGCUACAAGAAAAUACCGCAGUCACUCUUUAACCCAGCAUUCCCAAAACACACACUAGCACAUGUACACACAGACACACACAGCGGCUUGUUAGAGCCACACGGUCAUGCGAUCAGGGCUGCAUGCUGCUGCAUGUGUCAGGACUGAGCUCAUGUAAUCCACAUUGAUUCAUGGUGUUGAGAGGAAACAGCUCCCAGGAGAGAAACGCUCAGGGAUUCAGCGCCCAUCAGCUACUGAGAGUCACUCAGAAAGAUUUUGUUUGUUGGUCACAUCAACGAUAAACUGGCCAGAGUUGGAGAACCCUGACAGCAAGUCACACAAAGAGAAUUCAAGAGAAAAGCAGCAGGGCUUGAGUUUAACUUAAAGGUACAGUAGGUAGUUUUCAGCAGCAUUCAGGAGAACAGACUUGGCAGAAACCUAACAUUCGUAUGGUUUAAAUUAAUGUAAAAAUUUAACUAAUGGUGACUCUCUAAUGUUAGCUAGGUGUGCAUUUUGAGAAAUAAUGUUCGUCAAAAUGUUUGUGUGUCCACUCUACUGCCACAUGACACAUCUACUGAAAUAGCAAAGGAAAAAAAGUGUAAUGUAAAAUUCAAGCUGCCAAUAAUUACACCGGGGAAGCAUCAGCAAGAUAUAAUUUGGUUACUCUAAAAAGUGUCCAAGGAAUAUUAGAUCUGGUCUUUGGUUUUUCUUUUAGCAUGAUGACAAAAAGAUUACUUCCCAUGAAGAUCACACCACUUUGACAAGGGGACGACAGUCUGUGAUGAUCUGGAGUUUAAAAUAUAUGAAUUAUACACCAAAUGUACAGUAAGUUGAUAUAAAUCAUGACCGCAAGUAAAAUUUGUGUUGCCAAAGUGACCAGUAGGUAUUUAUGUCAAGCAGGCAAUACAGGGCUGCAACAUGAGGCUACUGUAAAAGCACGGACAUUUGCAGUUCCACAACUGGCCACUUGGGGCUUUCUCCAAAAGUGAGUCUGCUCCCAUAGACUUAAAUGUUAACAUGCCUCGGCUGAACAGCCUUGAAGAUAGAACAUUUUUGUUACCAUGGUAACUCUAUCCAAUCGGUUGGAGGUUUUGGUUUUGUUUUAAUAUAUUUAAUGUAUUUUCUCUUUUUUUUUUAUUAUUCCAGAUACUUUAGUAGGAGUAGUAAGAAACAGAAGCUCACUUUGUUUCCUAUGUUGUAUUUAAUUUUUGUAUUACCAAUACUAAUGGUACCAAUGGUGAGACCAGUUAGAUGGAUCUUUAAUAUUCCUAACUACAUCCUCACAAAAUGUAUUAUAAUUUGAAUACAAAAAGUCUCUUUUACUACAGAAACGUCCACCUGUUUGUUCUGUUAUCAUCAAACCUCUAUCUUUUAUCUGCUGUUGAUAAAUUGUUGAGAGAACAGAUGAUGAAUGGGUAAAAAGUGAAUGGAUAAAUAAUAAAUGGGUGGCUGGAAAUGAAGUGGGAUUUUAAACAGAGAGCAUGGAUAGAUGGACGGAUGGUUGAUGGAUGGGUAAUAAAGUAAAUGGAUGGAUGGAUGUUAAUGGAUGGAGAAAUUCAAUAGAUUGAUAAGUGAAUGUAUACAUCAGCAAAAACUGAUGACUUGAUAGUUGGAUGUAUAAGUAAAUGCAAAGGAUGUUAUGUUACACCUAAAUGUUAUUGUGAAAACUGUGUAUAUACUUUCGCUUACACCCGUAAUGGAUCUAUUGUGAUAAAGUGUCAGAAUGAUUUGCUGAUGAAAACCUUGAUGGAUAACAGGAAAUAGAAAAGCAACAGAUGAAAGGAGGGGAAAUAUUUCAUAAAUUAGCAGACUGAUAGUUGAGCAGAUAGACUGAUGACUGAAAUAAAUGGUAAUAAGUGAGGAUAUUUUUGUGUUUACUGUUGUAGACAAAUACACUAGAUGAAUAGCUUGGGUUUAGAUUAACAGUAUUGAUGGUAAUGAUAGAAUAAUAAAUAUACAGUUUUAGGAGAAUUCCUGGAAAAGAACAUAAAUUGCUGAGUCUUUAAACUGGAAUUAUAGGAAACAACCAGUAAACAAAAGGUAGAGAGAAUAAAAGCAGUUAUAGUCAUUUUUUUAUGGGGUUUAUGUUGGAUGGCUGGAUGGAUGCUGGUAUGCCAGAUGGAUGGAUAGGUGGAUGUUUGAUAGGUUAAAGAUAGAAAAAUGGAUGGAUGAAUGUUGGACAAAUAUAUUGAUAACUUAAUGUUGAAUGACGGAUGAAUGGAUGGCUCUAUUAAGGGUCAUACUUUUUGAAGAAACCAAAUAAUAUUAUUUUAAUUUUAGACGAAGUGUCUGAAGAUCAGAUUGCAAAAGGAUAAAAAGAGUAGUGUUGAAAUAGAUGGUAGGGAAGGUGGAUGGAUAGGUGAUGGAUGGAUGGAUUGAUGGAUGAAAUCAUAGAUGAAUAAUUAUAUGAGCAAAUUGAUAUUACAAAGACACAAAAAUGUGUAGAGCAGUGGUUGAUAUAUUGGUCUAUGUAUUUAAUGGGGAUAUACUGGCAGACAGAGAGAGUGAUGUGUUCGUAAAUUAACAGAUGGAUGAACUGAUGAAUAAAUAGGCCAAAAGAAGAACAGGAUAAUGGUUUAAGGGAUAGACAGAUGGAUAAAUAAGUGAAAGAAACUGCAAAAAAUAGCUAAAGGUUGACUGAAAAGAUGGAUGUGCUGGUUAUAAAUGUCAAUGCAAAUAUGGAUGGAUGCACAGAUAGAUGGCCUGAUAACUGGUUAGAUAAGUAAACGAACAAAUGGAUGGGCAUAAAAAUGGGUGGACGAGGGAUGUAGGGAGACUUGUUAAGUGGAUGGAAACAUGUAUGUGGCCAGAUGGGCAGAUAGAUGGGUGGAUGGUCACUUGGAUAAGUAAAUAGUGGCGGAAAGGAUGGACUGCAGUGAACAACGAUGGGUAGUUGGACAAAUGGCUGGAUGGUUGAGUUUCCUGUCAAGCUAACAUCAAAAUAAAAGAUAAUAACAGGUAUUUUCUGAGUCACACACACACACACACACACACGUCGCCCAGAAUCAAGCCUAUGUGGUUUGUUUUUCUGCCAGCAGAGACUCUAAAUGGGGCUGUAAAUAUCCAAGUUGCUCCUGACGCCCAUUCACUCUGAGACAAACAGCGAGGGGGGAGGGAGGACACUAUAAAUCAAGAGUUUAUGGUCUGUCCAUCGACCAGUAAAACACCCGGAGCUGCAAUAUCAGUCAGCAGGUCAGAAAGAGAGAGAGGCGGAGAGGGAAACAGGUCAUCAGGGAAAGAGGGAAGACAAGAGGGAUGGAGAUGAAAGAGGAGAAAGGAGGUCAAACUGAUGGAAAAGAGGGGGAGGAGGAGCUUUGUGCUAAUAUCCCCGUCUUAUCCCGUAUCUUGAAGCUGUUGCUUUGCGGUAUAUUUGUGUGUGAUUGUGCUCUAUUUCUGUCUCUGUGAAAAACAGCUAGAGUCUGAGGUCCCAGGAGGGAGGACGUUUUUCAAAAAGUGAGUCAAAUUCAGGCGUGUCCUCCACCUGAACCCAGAGAAAAGCCUCAAAAAGAAAGUCAAACUCACAGCUCAGCACAACACCUGCUGCCCACCUUUAAAUCCAGUUAUAACCCACUAAUUUAGUCACUUCUCAGGCAGCGAUUAACAACACAAGAACGAUGUCUGAUGAGGGAGAGUUUAGGUUUAGCUGUAGUCUAAUUUAAUUUGAGCAGUGAGUUUUAACUUUAGUGGAAAUAAAGAAACUACACAGAGAAAAACUUUUUAAACAGCUUCAGAGUCUAAAGUGUGUCCUGCUGCCGCUUGGCGAGGAUGAAAUGAGUGUGAAAAAGGAGGGCAGACAUGCUGAAACUUCUCCGGGCUUCUGUGAGAACCGGAUGUCACAGUGUGAAUAAUGGAUAAGUCAUAUAUGGUUGAGCUCUUAUAGCGAUGCAUAUUUGACCAAACCUGCUGUUUCUGAAGGGCUGAGAGAGCACUCAGCUCUCAACAUGCAGUAUGUAUGUUGGAAGAUGCACGCACGCUUAUGUUAGUUCUACUUUAACAAAAACUACAUCUCUUCCUGUCACAAUGACCUCAUUAUAUUUGUGACGUCUAGUUUUAUUCUGUGUUUCGUGUUGUAAACAAGAGCUAAACCAGCUGAGCUCUGAUCUCAUAUUCAGAAGUUUUGUCUGUUUCUAUAAAGCUUCUUGCUGCGUUGGCAGAAUCCUCCUUUGUAACAAUUAACACAAACACUGCAGAUUGAUUUUGACUCACAGCGUAAAUACCCCAGGAGCUCAAAGAUUCGCUGUGGAUUACACAACAGCUGAAAAACUGCCCCUCAACAAAUCUGCAAUUUUCUCCAGAUAAUGUCGGGCUCAAAGCUUCAGCUACCUGCUGAUCUUUAAGAUUACUUUUGUCCUUUCUUAAACACUGAAUCUGAUAUUUGACCGCUGCUAAAGACUUUUUCUCUCUUCACACAGAAAAAACACUAAAGAGAAAAUUGAACUGUUUCUUCUCUUCCUGAGGUCAGACCUGACAAAAGCUGUCUUUUUACCUUUUACAAACCUUCAUCAUGAUGCUCUUAUUCACUGUUACAUCUAUUUUCCCUGUUUUCCCACAUGAAUCUCUGUGAUAACUCCUCCUCUAUUUAAUAUUUCAGUUUUAAGGUAGAUUUCAGAGAGACAGUAUGACAGUAUGCUUGCUGAGCUAACAAGUGGCUAACUGGCUAAUUGUCUGUUAUUUUCGAUUACCUUUAGUGUCCAGAGAGAUUAUAUGAUCAAUCAUAAGACGUGGAAAAAUCCUCAUGGUCCUUUUCCUUCAACUCGGUUGCUUUUAUGUGGAUUGUUGAGUAAGAUUGUUCAAUUAAUAAGAAGUUGAUUCAUAGAUAUGAACAGUAGAUACGACAUGCCCCUUUGAGCCGAGUGCAAACGUGGCAGCCAUCUUGGCAGGGGCAAUGUCCCAUUAAAGGCAUUAGAUGUACAUUGAAAAUAAAUCAUAACUUGCUUAUUUCUUGACCGAUUUUCAUGCGGUUUACUUUAAACAUUAACAAAGAACAUUUGAUUUAAAAAAAGAUACAAAUGUUCUGUAUUAGUAGCACGUUUUGACAUUGAAUAUAAAGUAAAUAGCAUAAAAAAACAGUUGAGAAAUGAGCAAGUUUUGAUUUAUUUUCCAUAUACAUCUAAUGGCUUUAAUGAAAAAUUUGCGUCUGCUGGCUGUCACAUAGGCUGGGCAUUGCGGGCUGCUACAGCACAUCUAGUCUUCCAAAUAUAUCUGUGGUUUUAACUGUCGACGUCACGUCACUCCUCUCCUCUCCUCUCCUCUCUGUGCGUUUUAGGUUCAAAGAUUUUAUUGAUUACUUUUAAAGCUCAUCUGGGUCUUGUCUUGGGUUCAAUAAUAGAAAUGCUAACAUCAUAUGAACCGUCCCACAGUCUGAGAUCCUCAGGUGACACCAAAGUCAAGGCUUGGGAGGAGAUUGAGCUUUUUCCAUCAGAGACCCUCGACUCUGAAAAAACCUUCCUGAGGAGAAUCAGAGACAUCUUUGAAAACACUUUGGAAAACUCACCUUUACAGACUUUCUUUUAGUUACUUUUCAACUUUAACUUAUUGACUUUAUUUCAUUUAAAAACUCGUAUUUUAAUUUGUUUGAGUUAUCUGUUUGCAAGUCCUCAUUUGAUCCCCUACUGUGAUCUCAUUCACUUCAUUUAUUCACUUAUUUAUUUAUUUUUUUUUGGUUUGUUUGUACCUCACUGCCCCCUAUUAUCUAAUCUGUUUUUAUUCUGAUGUGAUGUUGUUGACCUCUUUCCCUUUUUUUCUCUUUUUCAUUUUUCUCUUUUCUCUCUUCUGUGAAUCUUUACUACUCUCUCUAUGACUUAUGAUUUAUUUUUCCUAUGCUUUCAUAAUUUUCAUAUUUUCUCUGAUUUGUCCGUCAAAGUACUGUGUACUGAGUACUGUAGUAAGGUGAUACAUAAAUGAAGUUAUCAUUAUUAUCAUUAUAUUGUUUACACAGAUUCAUUUAUUCAUACUGAGAUUUACAUCCGUACGUCGGACACUUGUGGUACCAUCUGUUAACACACACACACACACACACACACACAAACACACACAUAUAAGCUGAAACAGAGACUGUAGUCCUCGUCGUAGUGGCCGUUAAUGAAACUGAGACUCUCCAAGUAAAAGACCAACAGAUCCUCCAGGAAAUGAGACAAACUUGGACUGACAGUGUUUCUUUUAGCAGACUCACCUGGAGGAGCCAGUGGGUCCGGUUCUGCCUUCUUGGUCACAUGGUCGCUCCUCGAACAGCUGGACUGUAAACACUGAAGCUCACAGUAAAGGAGAUCCAGCCUGGAAAUUAUUUAUUGUACCUGUAUUCUCAUCAAACAAUAGCUGAUGGGGUCUGGAAUUGAAGAAGACUUAAAAUCAACAAACAGAGGAGAUUUUUUCCGGAGGUAAAUCAGGUGAGCACUGGGGUCGUUUUCUCAUCUGUUUCUAUACCAUUUAAUUGAUUUUCCAACCCGUGGAGUCAUCCCUCGUUGACCAUCAAGCUUGCCUGAACAAUAGAGCAGGCUUUAUCCACAUUUGCAUACAUACAGCUGAUGGUUUGCUCUAAUAUUCCCAGUUUGUGCUCCGUGGAUUACUGGGAGAAGACUCCUCCUGUUGACUGACAUUUCUGUUUAAAGUCAUUUGUCAUGCUGUCCAAUCAGACUCAAUAGAAGAAGAAGAAGAAUUACCUUAUUAACCCCUCUGAGGGAUAUUCGAUACUUUUACUCCAUUAUACACUUACAUGCACACACAUGUGACUGAGAACAUACUCUUAGACGUGCAGUCGUGGGGGAGAUGUUUGAGUAAUGGGUUGCUGCAUAACAGCCUCCCUGGAGCAGCGAGGAGUUUUGUACGCUGGUCAAGGACAUCCCUGCAACAUCCAGGAGGUGAACUGGGACCUCUCCAAACUGUGAUCCAUGCUGGACUUGGCCCAGCCAAUCCCCUGCAGACGCAGCCACUCCCACCCUCGGUUUAUAGCAGUACAAUAUGGAUGUGUCCUGUCCUCUCUCAGGCUACAGCAGCGCAGGGAUCCUCUGGUUGGAUCUCACUGUAAUUAUUGGAUUAUUGAAGGGUGGAGGAGCUGGAGGCCAACCUGAGCCUUUCACACUCAUGAUCACAAUCUCGAUAGCCUCCUCCCUCUGCUGCCAUCCAUCCUGCAGCCCCCCCGCCUCUCCUCAGACUGCUGCGUGGAGGAGGCAGAGCUGCUGGGAAUCCCACAGUCAUCCAUUAUAUAACCCGCUCUGUGCUGCAGUCAUGGUGCUCACGCUGUGACACUGAUUAACUGGUGGCUGUUCUUCUAAAUCGAGCAGAUCUGCCUCCACAUGGAGAAAUUUAUCAUUUUCUAUCCACUUAAAGGUUUACUCUUGAUUAAGUCAAAGCGCCCAAUUUUGCUAAAAAAAAUCCUUUAAACUCAGCAUAAAGACAUCAGUCAAUAUUUGAACCUCAGGUGUGUGAAAGUGUGAAAUGGAGCAGCUGUAAGCCUUGAUCUCCAGCUCAUUGCUACAGCCGAUUAUAAACUUCAACAUAUUUUUAACAUUGUGCGCGGAGGCAGAACAAUUGAUCAGUAGCUAGACUGAUGAAAUAAUCUCCUACUUGUGGAAUAUUUAACACCGAGCAGCAAAAAACAGUAACAAAGAGAGUUAAGUGGGAGGCUGUACUUGGGGGUAAAGUUAUUUAAACACUGAUAUCAUACACUUUUAUACCAAUUUGUACUCUUCAGCUCAAAUGAUUGUGUUCCUCAUCCUCCUUCCUGUCACUGUGGAUAUUCAAUCUCUUUAACUGCAGAUGCUGUUAGAUGACAUUUUACAUAUUUUAAUUUGUUGAAGCACCCUGUCACGUCCCCAAGGUGAACUCUGCAGCUUUUUUUCCGUGAAGCUCUCGUAGUUGAUGAUGAUGUAUGAUAAUGUUCUUUCCCCUUGUCGCUGAAAUAUUCACAGCAGCGAGCAUCAUAACGACAGCAGGAUGUUGUUUCACUUAUAUGCUCACCGCGUCUGUGUUUUCAGCAUACGUAUAAUUUAACAUCUUCUCUUUAUGACGCAUCUAUCUUACAACCUGUGAUUGAACAAGCUGGUGUAUUUCAGCUAAGUGAGUUGUGGUUUGCUUAUUUCAUGACUCAGCAGGGUCCCCAAUCUCCAUGGUAAAAUGGGCCUGGCUAACAAGUGGGAAGUUUUUAAGUUUCAGGGCAAUAACAGUCACGUCACAGCUGUUCAUACUCUCCACUUCGACCAUGACUCCUCUGUAAACAAAGACCAAUAUGAGCUGAAUUUGUGUCUCAGAUGUUUUGGAGACCCGGGGCUGUUUAUCAAUAAAGGCUUGAAACCAAAAACUGUAGUUAACUGUCAAAUAACAGCUUUUGUAACAAUAGCCACUGUAUGCUAAUGAGGAGCUAACUGGGCACUAGCCUCUAGGGGUGUCUCGAUACAGCUUUUUUAUCUCUGAUUUGAUACUGAUAUUGUAGCCUUAGUGUUGGCCGAUACCAAUAAUAAACCGAUAUAAGCACAGACUUGCGCAUUACAAGUUUUGAACUCCGCUACAGUGUUGUUUUUGGCAGGCAUUUUAGAUUUAGUUUUAGUCUUAGUCAUUUUGACGAAAUGCUUCUUCGUUUUAGUCCCAUUUUAGUCAUUUCUAUCCUUGAUAGUUUUCGUCUAGUUUUAGUCCGACGAAAACUCAAAAGGUUUUAGUCUAGUUUUAGUCGAUGUAAAGGUGCCUUUUGAGGUUCGUGGUGUUCUUUCCCGACAGUUUGAAGCGGCAGCAUGAAGAAGCUGUGGCUCCACAACUGUCGUCUGUCUCGUCUCCCCGCCCCCGUACAAGACAUUGUGUUUUAUUGUCACUUGGACUGUAUCUGAAGUAGGACCAAAAAUCAUCCCUCUUUUUUCGGCCACCGGGCACCGCUGCUGUGCCUGCCGCCACGGUGUGUGUGUGUGCGCGCCUCGUCCACCUGCCGCUCUGUGUAUGUGUAUGAGUGUGUGCGCGCAGCUGUGCGCGAGCGAGGCUUUUGGUGCGUGUGUGAUGGGGGCGUGACUGUUAGGACAAAAAAAAGCAUGUUUUGAAACUUUGUUCGUCCACCUAAUAACAAUUUAGUGUCGUCUCGUUCUCGUCUGACGAAAAUGAAUAUAAUUUUCGUCACAUUUUAGUCUUUACAGAGCUUUGGUGACGUUCGUCUUAGUCUCAUUUUCGUCAAGGAAAAAAGGGGUCUGACGUCGUCAUUUAAGUUUUCGUCCUGCCUGACGAAAACAACACUGCUCCGCUACAACGUCUUUUUCGGACUUAAACGGAAAAUACUGCCACACGGGGGCUCUGUAUGCUAGAUCCGGGCGCUGCUAGCUAGGGGUGCCGGAGCGGAGUCUGGAAUGGACUGCAUGUAUCGGAGUGCUGAUACUGGAGAUUUUAGAUUUUAGAUGCAGGCCGAUAUAAUCUAAUACCUUUUUUUUUUCUGAUAUCAGACCACUAUCCUGUAUGUAUCAGGACAACCCUACUAGCCUACUAGCCUGAUGUUUGCUCCAAGGUCACAACUUUAGAGUCAUUUUAUGAUAAUACAGCUGUGUAAAAAGUAACACCCACAAGCCGUGUUGAAAACAGGAGAAUAUACACAAGGGGUCCUUUGAGCACCAAAUCAUGCAAAACUACCAUAUACACUCACCAGCCACUUUAUUAGGUACACCUGUCCAACUGCUCGUUAACACUUAAUUUCUAAUCAGCCAAUCACAUGGCGGCAACUUAGUGCAUUUAGGCAUGUAGACAUGGUCAAGACAAUCUCCUGCAGUUCAAACCGAGCAUCAGUAUGGGGAAGAAAGGUGAUUUGAGUGACUUUGAACGUGGCAUGGUUGUUGGUGCCAGAAGGGCUGGUCUGAGUAUUUCAGAAACUGCUGAUCUACUGGGAUUUUCACGCACAACCAUCUCUAGGGUUUACAGAGAAUGGUCCGAAAAAGAAAAAAUAUCCAGUGAGCGGCAGUUCUGUGGGCGGAAAUGCCUUGUUGAUGCCAGAGGUCAGAGGAGAAUGGCCAGACUGGUUCGAGCUGAUAGAAAGGCAACAGUGACUCAAACAACCACCCGUUACAACCAAGGUAGGCAGAAGAGCAUCUCUGAACGCACAGUACGUCGAACUUUGAGGCAGAUGGGCUACAGCAGCAGAAGACCACACCGGGUGCCACUCCUUUCAGCUAAGAACAGGAAACUGAGGCUACAAUUUGCACAAGCUCAUCGAAAUUGGACAAUAGAAGAUUGGAAAAACGUUGCCUGGUCUGAUGAGUCUCGAUUUCUGCUGCGACAUUCGGAUGGUAGGGUCAGAAUUUGGCGUCAACAACAUGAAAGCAUGGAUCCAUCCUGCCUUGUAUCAACGGUUCAGGCUGGUGGUGGUGGUGUCAUGGUGUGGGGAAUAUUUUCUUGGCACUCUUUGGGCCCCUUGGUACCAAUUGAGCAUCGUUGCAACGCCACAGCCUACCUGAGUAUUGUUGCUGACCAUGUCCAUCCCUUUAUGACCACAAUGUACCCAACUUCUGAUGGCUACUUUCAGCAGGAUAAUGCGCCAUGUCAUAAAGCUGGAAUCAUCUCAGACUGGUUUCUUGAACAUGACAAUGAGUUCACUGUACUCAAAUGGCCUCCACAGUCACCAGAUCUCAAUCCAAUAGAGCAUCUUUGGGAUGUGGUGGAACGGGAGAUUCGCAUCAUGGAUGUGCAGCCGACAAAUCUGCGGCAACUGUGUGAUGCCAUCAUGUCAAUAUGGACCAAGCUCUCUGAGGAAUGCUUCCAGCACCUUGUUGAAUCUAUGCCACGAAGAAUUGAGGCAGUUCUGAAGGCAAAAGGGGGUCCAACCCGUUACUAGCAAUGGUGUACCUAAUAAAGUGGCCGGUGAGUGUAGAUGUCCCUGACCAACACAAUGAAGUUUAGAAAUGAGAGUAAUAGAUGUAGUUUAAUUGAAUAACAGUUGGCCCGUAGAUCGGUGCAAAAUAAACAGAAGUUAAUCUUGCCCAAGUUGUUUGCGAUCCAUCUUACCAGGUGGAAGCAGAAGUUGAAUUCUCCUUCUGUCUCAGGUAAACAAAUGAACUGUGGGUAAACCAGUAUGCCUUCAUUGUUGCACCAAAAACACACCACUGCAACUCUGAGGUAAGAAGUUAUCUGUCAAACAGGGUCAGCUGAUUCAAGCUGGAGACUUUUGAUUGGUGGCUGGUAAAGGCGGGGACUAAAGGGAAGGGGACACAUGUUUAGCUCCGCUCUUCAGUCUGUAGUUGAGCAAAGAAAGUCUGGAGACCCAUGCAGAUGUUGGAGUGAAAAUAGAACAUUACGACACGUAUUGUGCAAAAGUUUACCACAACAGCAGGCUGCCAGAUUUCUUCUUUGGCCUGUGGUUUUGUUGGAACCAGGACAGCUACUUUAUGUAUCACUGAUUUUGCAUCUGAGCAGAAAGUUUGGACAUUCAUGGCAUCAAUCAGCUGUAAUAUGAAGUUAAAACAGCUGAGCAACAGCUGAUAUACAGUCAAGCACGGUUCACUGUCCUCAUAAAUACAUGAUCUGGGAUACAGAGGAAUUUUAUUCAAAAGUGGAUGUCCAAAAAGAGCCAACGAUCGAAGACAUCUGUGAGUUUAUUUGCAGCCAAAAACUAAAAGAAGAGAAAGACUCGACUGUUCUGGUGUAGCCGUUUCUACCCUCCCACUCUUUGACUUUGAUCAUCUGUGCUGUCACUGCAGGGCAACUUUGACGUACCAGGAUCGCGAUAAUCAAAACGCCCAGAUACUUAACUUGCUGUAUAUUUUUUAGACAUGAGCAACACAUCGUGACAUUCCUCCAAUUGUCUCUUUUAUCAUUCAUAAAUCAAGAUUGAAUCAAUUCAGAGCAAGAGUCGUUUGCUUUAGGUGUGCAGCUUUAGUCAGCCGCAGAAAACUCACAGCUAAAACCAUGUAACCUCUGCAUUACUCACUGUGUAGGCCAGAGUAUAAGUAAUAAGUAUUACUUUCCACAUUUAUCUUGUGCGACAGGCGUGACAGAGAGAAAUGGGUCCUUCAAAGAUUGCAAACCAGCUCCUGCAUACUGUCUGAUUUUCUCGAUUGCAUUUGUUUGCAGUGUUUUAGUAUCAGACCUUGAUCAGGCGAACAGUCUGUGAAAGUCUGUUGCUGAAUUUAAAUAUGCUGCAAGGUUCCCAAAACUCUUCGGGAUGAGAUGAGGGUGUGAACCCAAGAGGACGAAAGAUUCACCUGACUUUUUCUGCUUUUUCACUUGUUAAAAUGUUGAUGUGUUUUCAGGGUGAGAGAUCCUCAAACACUGCUUCAUCACCAUCUCGUCACUGCAUCCUUUUGGAGUCAUGCCCUUCCCUCGAUGACACUGCCCCUCCCUCAUCAGACUGUGAAAACUUCAUGCUUUAAGG
rnacentral:lncRNA from 1 species